rnacentral:rRNA from 1 species
AUUGAACGCUGGCGGAAUGCUUUACACAUGCAAGUCGAACGGCAGCACGGAGUUCGGUCUGGUGGCGAGUGGCGAACGGGUGAGUAAUGUAUCGGAACGUGCCCAGUCGUGGGGGAUAACAUAGUGAAAAUUACGCUAAUACCGCAUACGAUCUAUGGGAGAAAGCGGGGGAUCGCAAGACCUCGCGCGAUUAGAGCGGCCGAAAUCAGAUUAGGUAGUUGGUGGGGUAAAGGCCCACCAAGCCAACGAUCUGUAGCUGGUCUGAGAGGACGACCAGCCACACUGGAACUGAGACACGGUCCAGACUCCUACGGGAGGCGGCAGUGGGGAAUUUUGGACAAUGGGCGAAAGCCUGAUCCAGCCAUUCCGCGUGCAGGAUGAAGGCCCUCGGGUUGUAAACUGCUUUUGUACAGAACGAAAAGGUUUCUACUAAUACUAGGAGCUCAUGACGGUACUGUAAGAAUAAGCACCGGCUAACUACGUGCCAGCCGCCGCGGUAA